ACUAAGCGUUCCCCUUUAGUUUAUAUAUUAGAAGAUAUGGAUGGACGUGAAUUAGGUAUGUGGCAUAUAAAAGAUCUUAAAAUAGUGGGCAGCCAACCACGACAUUGAUAGUCGGAUUUUGAUUCAGGCAAAAUCCUCUUCUAAGGGAGGGGGUACUGUAACGUAGUUUUAUAAAACUCAAUAUAAUCAAAUAUAAACACAUAUAAUAAAACUAAGAAUAAUUAAUAAUAGCCUUAAUAUUGUCUACGGAUCUCUAAAUCCAUCAUACGUAUCAUCGCGAUGCGUGCCCCGCACCGUCCUCCACCCGCGACGUGUUAGACUCGGCAGUCGGCGGUGGGGACAGAAUUUCUAGUCUCAAAGGAGAGCGCACGUUCCUUGGCUGCGCGAACCAACUACAUUGUUCUCGUGCCAUUAUAAUACUUGAAUAACUACAACUUUCUUAUAUUUUUUACACGUUAUUAGGUUAACAUACUACUUAACAAACUAUUAAAUAAAUAAAGUCAGUGUUCCCAUCUAGGGAACACUGUUGGACUUCAAUACCUGUCCUACUUCGUAUGCCACAGUUUUGAACCUGGAUCCGGACAACAUAGUGAAGUCACACGUGUCAGGAGAUUGGGAACCGAAGGGGUGUACGGUAUUUCUGGGACCGAGACUCUGCGAGCAAAUUAUGGCCUCGGCUUUACCCUCGACCUCUUAAAAUCUUUAUUAAAUAUAAUUUAAAUAUAGUUUUAAAAAUUG